CCCCGUUUCGUUGCUCUGCGCCUGCUUGCGCGACUCUCUUUCUCUCGCUCCCUCUCUCUCCUCACCGGCUGCCCAUCUCUUCAGUGAGACGUCUUUGUAGCGAUCACGGCUGUGAGUGUUUUGUUGACAGUAGGUCGUGCUGUCGUUGUGGCCAAUCUUGCCCCUCGCGAUCCGCCUCGGUGUCGCUUCUUCCACUGCCGCCGUGGAGCUGCCCUUUCUUCUCUGUGCCCGUGCGUACUGUGGUCUGCGGUGCCGUUGGCGUUGCCGAGCCCCAUCCGCCACUCGCUGUGGAGAUUUACACGGACGCCACCAUUUUGUUUGUUUGUUUGCAGCUGUUGCCGUUGUCUCCCGCACCCUUGUGGACCCCCGCUUCCCUCUUCCCCCUUUCCCCACCCUCUCUCUUCCCCGCGAUACCCCGUGCAUCCGAGACAGCAUGAGCAGCUUUCUUUCGCUCUCGUCGCGCCGUAAUCAGCAGCCUCACAGCCGUGACAGUGUUACGAAUGCGACGAGUGUCACAACAGCCACGCCAACCAGUGGUGGCGGUAGCGGCCCCAUGCACAAGUCGUCGUCGUCGUCGUCGCGGGCAUCGGUGCAACACAGCAGGCCCAUCAAGGUGGUAUCGUCAACCUCUCGCGAGGAAGUGCGGAAGCGCCCACAUGAAAUGCGCGCUGAGGUGGAGGGCAUCAUCCACGUGCUCGAUGGUGGCAUCAACCGAACGCCGCUGCCCCUGCAGCAGCGACAGAGCCUUCUCAGUGGAGUGCCGCAUGAACUGCAGCUGCUAAGCAGCGGCGGCACCGCUGGAAGUCGCCAGGAGGCGACUCAGGAGGCGGGCAGCACGGUGAACCUCAUGUGCGGUGAGCUGGGCAGCUCUUUCAUGCACUCGUCUUUCAUGCUCAGCACGAGCAGACGCAGCAGCGUGAAGCCCGACUCAAUGGCGGUGAACGCCCAAACCCAGAGCAAGGGGAGCAGCGAGACUGGUGACCACGGCAGCGGCGUCGGCCGACGCACCACUGGGGGCGACAUCCGCAGCCUUGAUUCGAGCCUUCAGUCGCUUUCCUUCGCCUGUGACCACCGCAUCUCGGAUCGCUCGUUGUCCGUGUACGACUCCCCGUCCAUGCGAAGACGCAGUAUCGCUGUCGCUGGCAACGCCGCCGAUGCACCGCUCCCCAGACUCGCUCAGCGCAACACGCUGCUAGAGGAGGCCACCUACGCCCCCCCUGCGCCGCUGACAGCAACUGAGAAAGCGGCAUGGCGCAAGGCAACCACCACCGUCGUUCUCACCGAGACCCCGACCAUCUUCCUCUACGCUCAUCAGGACGAGGCCGUGUCAAACGAGCACGCUGACAAGGUCACCACCGUCGUGGCGCGCAACAGCGAGUAUGCGGCCGUCGAGGAGACGUACCGCACCGACGAGGGCACGCAGUUUCACAGCACCGGCGCCAUCACCAUGCGCGCGCCAAUGAAGUCGGUGCAGACCGAGGUGCAACCGCCGGCGAGGAAGGACAGCGGGGCUCUGCAGGUGACCCCAUGGAUGCUGAAGGACGCGUACGCGGCGGCGCUGGAGGCGGCAGAGGACGCGGAGGAGGAUACCCAGGAGGAGCGACAGCAGCAGGCGGGUGACGCAGCUACCGAGGCGGCUGGUGGCGGUGCCGGCACAAAUGUCGAAGACGCCCUGCGUGACGGAGAUAACAUCGACGGCGACGGCAGCCUAGAAGACGAUAACCAAAGCAGCGAGAAUGGGCAGUCCACCUUGAUGUCGUCGGAAACAGUGACGCAUACGAUGAGCAGCGAUGGGGGCAUGGCAAACAGUGCCAAAGUCGCUACUGGGGCCUCGGCCACGACUGCUGGCGUGGCAGCGAGCAGGCAGUGGAUGCUGGCGGAGACGUUGCUUUCCACGCUGCGCAUCAUGGAGCGUGCGGUGGUGCAGAACAACAUGGAGGCGGUGCAGCUCGCCUAUCGCGGUAUCACAGUGGAGACCUUUGACCAAGGUACGGGGACGGGUGCAGCGAACGGAGCGGCCAUUCCCGCUUCUACCGCCAACGCUCCUGCCCCCGCGACUGCGAUGCGUGCGCUAACGGCGGUACCGGGGCCCGUGCCAGCGGCUAUCAGCGUGCACACCACCUCUCUGCCAGGAAUCCCGGCCGACGCCCCUGCCGCGACUCCAGGGGUUGGAGGAGAGGCAGCGGCGACGGCGGACGGAAAGCCGGCUGGGCGGGUGAUUGACGGGGAGAGCAGACAACCGGAUGAUGCGGCGAAACUCACAUCAUGCGCAGCCGUGGCCUUCAUCGACGCCCCGCCGGUGCGACUCAGCGAGGGGAUUUGCCUUCUCUGGCGUUUUGGCUCGCCGCAGCUUACGCGCGAUCGCGGUGUGGCGUGCAUGACGUGGAACCGGCGUGAGAGUGACAUGCUGGCGGUGGGUUACACCGCGCGCCGGCGAUCGUUGCCGCAGGGCGACGCCGGCAGCAGGGCUAGCGAUAGCUCGUCGGUCAUGGCAUACAAACGAGCUCAGGGUCAGGAGGCGCACGGGAUGGUGUGCUGCUGGUCACUCAAGAACCCACUGGCUCCGGAGCUCGUCCUGUACCUGCGCGGCGAAGCUGACGUCACGGCCCUCGCCUUUUCUGUUGAGCACCCAAGCCUGCUUGCCGUCGGCAGCAGCACUGGCGAGAUUGUCGUCUACGACAUCCAGCACGACGUCUUGCUCCCUUCUAUCGCUCCCGCCGUCGUCGGCGCGACCGGCGGCCAGCACACCGGCUCUAUCUGGGAGCUGCAGUGGGUGCCGAAGGGAAAGGAGCACGGCGAGUUCCUCACGUCCAUCUCCGCUGACGGCCGCGUUGUGCAAUGGGCGGUGGGCAAGUCGAUUGAGCGCGUCCCACCGGAUCUCAUGCACCUGCAGCGCCAGCCGGGGAUGCAGGUAGAGAAAGCCUUUGUCGCUGGUGUCGCGGAGGCGGAGGCGGAGGCGGCUGCGGCAGUGUUGGCCGAGUCCGCGGUGGGCGGUAAAGGCUGUCAGAAGACGCAGCACCGAAAGUCGACUCAGAAGAGCGGUGCCGGGACUGCGACUAUUCGAACCGCCGGUGGCGGCGGCGCUGCGGAGGAGGCGAUCCUGUCUCGGCAAUGCGGGGGCAUGUGCUUCGAUAUUUGCCCUUCGGACACGGCGGUGUACAUCGUCGGCACCGAGGACGGCUCCGUUCUGCAGUGCAGCAAGAGCCAGACGGAGAACUACGACUUCGAGUACGAGUCACACGCGGAGCUGGUGUACCGCGUUCGGUGGUCGCCCUACAGCGCGGCAUACUUUCUCACCUGCUCGGCGGACUGGACGUCGCGUCUGUACAAGGUCGGCACGAGAAAGGCGCAGCUGCGCUUUCACAGCGUCCGGCAAGACGCCGUACAGGACGUGGCGUGGUCGCACACGAACGCUCUCACCUUUGCCACGGUGACGGCGCAGGGCAACGCCGAGGUGUGGACGAUCAUGGAUGCCAUGCACCCCCGCGCCAAUGUCGAGUACCGUGACCACCGCCGUCUCAGCGCUGUCCUUUUCGCAGAGCAGGAGACACCCGUGCUCGUCGUUGGCGACGAGGAGGGCGACGUGACGGUGUUCCGGCUGGACGGAUCGUCGUACAACCGCGGGGACGUCACAGAUGACGAGCAGGAGGCGUGGCUGAAAGGGGCGGUCCGGAAGCAGCUUACGUAAUCCACCGUCUGCUUGUUAGUCAGGAGUGGAAGUGGAUGAGGGGCAGAGCCGCGCUGGGGAGCGUGAGGUGAACUGCAUGCUCUCCGGCUCCCAUCGUUUCACGUUGAUGAGAGCUCGUGCGCGCUAGUUGUCUUUUCUUCUGCGCCUCUCACUCGUCCACGGCGUUGGCUGGGUGUAGGCGUUGCUCUUCUUUUUGUGGUGAUGUUAUCUUCGUCGUGAACAUGGCUCUUUAGCCUGCUCAUGUCUCCGUGGGUGAUCCCGCGGAGUUGAAUGGCGGAGAACGUGAGAAAGGCCCGUUUCCUGUGAAAGGGAGACAGCGAAACGAACCCGAAAGGGGCGGCGACGCGGGCGCGUGUAGUACGACCAGAUAAGUGCGCUUCUGUGUGUGUGUGUGUGUGUGUGCUGGGUCUUUUUUUUUCCAAUCCGCCCAGCUGUGCCCACCUCCCCCCUUGCUCACCUCAUUCUCUCCGUUUGUGUUUUAGUAGUAGUAUCCCCCACCCCCUUCUCUCUGCGUUGUUCUAGAUGCCAUUGGGUGCUGACGCUCGUCGCACGUGUGUGCCUUCACGAUAGAUGAACGUGGGCGCGUGCUUGUUCUGCUCUCUCUGUUUGUGCGAGAGAGGGGGAGAGAGCCAUCUCUCCGAUUGUGGUUGGUUACUACGCGUCUGGUUGUCGCCCUCGCAUCUCUAUUCCUGAGGUUUUGGCUCGGUAGUCUUUGCCAUGUACACUUGCAUGUAUGAUAGCUCUCUUACGUCCUCGCACGCUCGCACUUGUCCGGCCCGUCUUUUCGUUUUGCUUUUGCUUUUUUACAUUUUCUUAUGUUUGUGUCGCUCCUCCAUGCAGCGAUGUGCCCGCACGUAUUAGACGAAGUAAAGGCAAAAGAGGCACUUGUGCCGGAGCGUGUGUGCGGCAGUGAACAACUUACUGCCGCUCUCCCUUUCUGACGCACCCUUCUGCAAAUCUGGUGCGCGCUCACUCAUGAUGCAGAUAGGCGCACGAACUGCAAAGAGGUGAACGAGGCAUUACC
rnacentral:misc_RNA from 1 species